GGAGGUAGCAUUGGAGAAGGCGAUGGCAACCCACUCCAGUGUUCUCGCCUGGAGAAUCCCAGGGACGGGAGAGCCUGGUGGGCUGCCGUCUAUGGGGUCGCACAGAGUCAGACACAACUGAAGCAACUUAGCAGUAGCAGCAGCAGCAGCAGACUCUGGAGGGCAGGUCCCUCGUCAGAGUCAGACAAGAGCCAAACCCUGUUCUCCAAGCAUGGCAUGAUGGGAGGGGAGAAAACAGGUUCUCCCAGAUUUGGAUCUCCUGUUGAGGACCACAGAGGAUUUCAUGGUGGCCUCAUCACCCUGUUGCUGGUGUGAAGGUGUGUGUGUGCGUGCAUGUGUGAUGAACAAAGGAGGAGCACGUGACCUCAGUCAAUCCAAUGGGAGUCGGUUUUGGAACGUAAGCCAUAAAGACUGGGAAAGUGGCUCUCCCUUGGUUGCCAUCCUUGCUGCAGCAUGGACAUGGUCAUGGUCAGCUAAGAAGGAAGCCCACACAGAAGGAAACAGUCAAGGGAAGGAGAGAAAAUCCGAUGCCAUCAUCAAGUCCCUCAUCUGGCUAUACCAAAGCCAAAUAAACAUCCCAAACCUCCCAAUUAU
ensembl:lncRNA